UUAUGGUCUGUGGUUGUGGUCAGUAGUUAUGGUCUGUGGUUGUGGUCAGUGGUUGUAGUCAGGAGUUGUGGUAAGAAGUUAUGGCCAGAUAUUGUGGUUGUUGUGAUCAGUGAUUUUGGUCAGUAGUAGGUUCCUUCCUAGGAUUUGGCCUUUGUAGGGAGUUUUUCCUAGCCACCGUGCUUCUACACCUGCAUUGCUUGCUGUUUGGGGUUUUAGGCUGGGCUUCUGUACAGCACUUUGAGACAUCAGCUGAUGUAAGAAGGGCUUUAUAAAUACAAUUGAUUUGAUAUCAGUGAUUUUGGUCAGUAGUUGUCGUCAGUAGUAGUGUGGUUCAGUAGUUGUGUGGUUGUGGUCAGUAGUGUGCUUGUGGUCAGUAGUUAUGUGGUUCAGUAGUUGUGUGGUUCAGUAGUUAUGUGGUUGUGGUCAGUAGUUGUGGUCAGUAGUGUGCUUGUGGUCAGUAGUUAUGUGGUUCAGUAGUUGUGUGGUUGUGGUCAGUAGUGUGAUUUUGGUCAGUAGUAGUGUGGUUCAGUAGUUGUGUGGUUGUGGUCAGUAGUGUGAUUUUGGUCAGUAGUAGUGUGGUUCAGUAGUUGUGUGGUUGUGGUCAGUAUUUGUGGUCAGUAGUGUGAUUGUGGUCAGUAGUUAUGUGCUUAUGGUCAGUGAUUGUGGUCAGUAGUGUAGUUGUGUGGUUGUGGUCAGUAGUGUGAUUUUGGUCAGUAGUAGUGUGGUUCAGUAGUUGUGUGGUUGUGGUCAGUAGUGUGAUUGUGGUCAGUAGUUAUGUGCUUGUGGUCAGUGAUUGUGGUCAGUAGUGUGGUUCAGUAGUUGUGUGGUUGUGGUCAGUCGUGUGAUUGUGGUCAGUAGUUAUGUGCUUGUGGUCAGUAGUUGUGGUCAGUAGUGUGAUUUUGGUCAGUAGUUAUGUGGUUCAGUAGUUGGCACUACAGAGGAUGGUGCAGACAGCCCACUACAUCACUGGGGCCGAGCUUCCUGCCAUCUAUCCCCAGGCCAUAAGACUGCUAAACAGGAUAAACUACGGUCUCUAUGAACACUUGCAGGGAUAUUCUAUUUCUGUUCUUAUUUCAGAUUUGAUUAGUAGAGAAGUAAAAGUAAAAUUUCGUCCUAGUUGGAAAAGUGGUCAAAAUGUCAGUUUUCAUAAAUUGAGGCAAAGUUGAUGAGGUUAAUAAACCAGCUGUAUCGUUCGAUCUGUACAAGAUAUUUCUGUUCCGAUUCCAGAUUUGAAUAUCUCGGAUGUAGACCAAUAUGUCACACCUCAAAGGUUUUCUCUAACUUGUUGGGAAAGUGGUCCAUAUCGCUGUUACAUUGUUUACAGUGAAUGUUGGAAGUUAUGAUGUCACAAUGGGGAGCUUUAGAAAGUCCCGUUAAAGUGCAAGAUGGACGGAAAGACAAAUGAAACGGAAAGACAAAUGAAACGGAAAUGAAAUGAAACAGAAAGACAAAUGAAACGGAAAUGAAAUUAAACAGAAAGACAAAUGAAACGGAAAGACAAAUGAAACGGAAAGACAAAUGAAACGGAAAGACAAAUGAAAUGGAAAUUAAAUGAAACAGAAAGACAAAUGAAACGGAAAUGAAAUGAAACAGAAAGACAAAUGAAACGGAAAGACAAAUGAAACGGAAAGACAAAUGAAACGGAAAGACAAAUGAAAUGAAACAGAAAGACAAAUGAAACGGAAAUUAAAUGAAACAGAAAGACAAAUGAAAUGGAAAGACAAAUGAAACGGAAAGACAAAUGAAACGGAAAGACAAAUGAAACAGAAAGACAAAUGAAACGGAAAGACAAAUGAAACGGAAAGACAAAUGAAACGGAAAGACAAAUGAAACGGAAAGACAAAUGAAACGGAAAUUAAAUGAAACAGAAAGACGAAUGAAACAGAAAGACAAAUGAAACGGAAAGACAAAUGAAACGGAAAGACAAAUGAAAUGGAAAUGAAAUGAAACAGAAAGACAAAUGAAACGGAAAGACAAAUGAAACGGAAAGACAAAUGAAACGGAAAGACAAAUGAAACGGAAAUUAAAUGAAACAGAAAGACGAAUGAAACAGAAAGACAAAUGAAACAGAAAGACGAAUGAAACAGAAAGACAAAUGAAACGGAAAGACAAAUGAAACGGACACAUUUUAAAGUUUGAAAGACGUUUCUAGCGUAAACAGUGUGAGACGAGAAGCGUGCAGAGUAAUAAUAGUAUGAUUUUUGCAAGUUCCACCUCAUAGGAAGUAUGUGGAAGAUUUAUGGUGGGGACUCUUGCUUCCAAAGCCCCUUUAAUAAGUCAGGAAUCAUUCUUACAAUAUUUAAAAUGUGGCUGCUGUUGCAUAACAUAAUAAACAAUAUGUCACACACUGAAUAGGUGCAGUGUAAUGUGAUGUUUUACAGGGUCAGUCAUAGUAGUAUGAUAGGUGUUGUUUUACAGGGUCAGUCAUAGUAGUAUGAUAGGUGUUGUUUUACAGGGUCAGUCAUAGUAGUAUGAUAGGUGUUGUUUUACAGGGUCAGUCAUAGUAGUAUGAUAGGUGUUGUUUUACAGGGUCAGUCAUAGUAGUAUGAUAGGUGUUGUUUUACAGGGUCAGUCAUAGUAGUAUGAUAGGUGUUGUUUUACAUGGUCAGUCAUAGUAGUAUGAUAGGUGUUGUUGUACAGGGUCAGUCAUAGUAGUAUGAUAGGUGUUGUUUUACAGGGUCAGUCAUAGUAGUAUGAUAGGUGUUGUUUUACAGGGUCAGUCAUAGUAGUAUGAUAGGUGUUGUUUUACAGGGUCAGUCAUAGUAGUAUGAUAGGUGUUGUUUUACAGUGUCAGUCAUAGUAGUAUGAUAGGUGUUGUUUUACAGGGUCAGUCAUAGUAGUAUGAUAGGUGUUGUUUUACAGGGUCAGUCAUAGUAGUAUGAUAGGUGUUGUUUUACAGGGUCAGUCAUAGUAGUAUGAUAGGUGUUGUUUUACAGGGUCAGUCAUAGUAGUAUGAUAGGUGUUGUUUUACAGGGUCAGUCAUAGUAGUAUGAUAGGUGUUGUUUUACAGGGUCAGUCAUAGUAGUAUGAUAGGUGUUGUUUUACAGGGUCAGUCAUAGUAGUAUGAUAGGUGUUGUUUUACAGGGUCAGUAGUAUGAUAGGUGUUGUUUUACAGGGUCAGUCAUAGUAGUAUGAUAGGUGUUGUUUUACAGGGUCAGUCAUAGUAGUAUGAUAGGUGUUGUUUUACAGGGUCAGUCAUAGUAGUAUGAUAGGUGUUGUUUUACAGGGUCAGUCAUAGUAGUAUGAUAGGUGUUGUUUUACAGGGUCAUAGUAGUAUGAUAGGUGAUGUUGUACAGGGUCAGUCAUAGUAGUAUGAUAGGUGUUGUUUUACAGGGUCAGUCAUAGUAGUAUGAUAGGUGUUGUUUUACAGGGUCAGUCAUAGUAGUAUGAUAGGUGUUGUUGGACAGGGUCAGUCAUAGUAGUAUGAUAGGUGUUGUUUUACAGGGUCAGUCAUAGUAAUAUGAUAGGUGUUGUUUUACAGGGUCAGUCAUAGUAGUAUGAUAGGUGUUGUUUUACAGGGUCAGUCAUAGUAGUAUGAUAGGUGUUGUUUUACAGGGUCGUAGUAAUAUGAUAGGUGUUGUUUCACAGGGUCAGUCAUAGUAGUAUGAUAUGUGUUGUUUUACAGGGUCAGUCAUAGUAGUAUGAUAGGUGUUGUUGUACAGGGUCAGUCAUAGUAGUGUGAUAGGUGUUGUUUU